rnacentral:misc_RNA from 1 species
UGUAUAUUCAGUUUUUUUUUAGGGUUCAGUAAACUAGGGUUUGAACUUUUGAAUCAAACGGAUAUGUCGAAGAGAAAAUUUGGAUUCGAAGGAUUUGGCAUUAAUCGGCAAACAACGUACAACUUCGAGCGAAAUCAAGCUCCUCAGCGACUGUAUGUUCCGCCAUCCUCACGUUCUGGAGGUAGCCAUGACAAUUACGAAGAUACCGACUUAGAUAACAUUGAGUACGAUGAACACGACGCUGUCGGAGGGAACAACAAUGAUGGAGGCGGAGGAGGUGGUGAAGAUGAUGAAAUUGAUCCACUUGAUGCGUUUAUGGAAGGGAUUCAUCAAGAAAUGAAGGCUGCACCGCCUCCUAAGCCAAAAGAGAAGUUGGAUAAGUAUAAAGAUGAUGUAGAUGAUGAUCCGAUGGAGAGUUUUCUGAGAGCGAAGAAGGAUGUAGGUUUACAAUUGGCG